rnacentral:rRNA from 1 species
GUACGUAGGGGGCAAGCGUUAUCCGGAGUUUACUGGGUGUAAAGGGAGCGUAGACGGUUCUGCAAGUCUGGAGUGGAAAGCCCGGGGCUCAACCCCGGGACUGCUUUGGAAACUGUGGAACUGGAGUGCAGGAGAGGUAAGUGGAAUUCCUAGUGUAGCGGUGAAAUGCGUAGAUAUUAGGAGGAACACCAGUGGCGAAGGCGGCUUACUGGACUGUAACUGACGUUGAGGCUCGAAAGCGUGGGGAGC